rnacentral:lncRNA from 1 species
GACCCACUUCCCCGAAGGGCAUACGAUAACGAGCAGAAGGAGGAGAAUUCGGAAACUCCAACAACGAUCUCGCGUCAGGAUGCCCACCAUGAUGCCUAGGAGAAUAAUAUGCAGCAGGGCUCCAUGGACCUUCCAUCUCACUGUACCUCUGAGGAACAGCCACAUGUCGCAAAUUACACUGCGGCAAUGGUAUAUCAUGACUCCUCAAACCAUGAAUCCCACCACCACCAUCAAGACUCAUACGACCAAAAAACUGUUC